CCCACCAAGGCGACGAUCAGUAGCCGACCUGAGAGGGUGACCGGCCACAUUGGGACUGAGACACGGCCCAGACUCCUACGGGAGACAGCAGUUAGGAAUAUUGCACAAUGGGGGAAACCCUGAUGCAGCGACGCCGCGUGAGCGAAGAAGUAUUUCGGUAUGUAAAGCUCUAUCAGCAGGGAAGAAAUUGACGGUACCUGACUAAGAAGCACCGGCUAAAUAC
rnacentral:rRNA from 1 species